rnacentral:rRNA from 1 species
UGGGUUUGACAUCCUUUGACAGUCCCGGAAACGGGAUCUUUCCGACUUUGUCGGAACAGAGUGACAGGUGCUGCAUGGCUGUCGUCAGCUCGUGUCGUGAGAUGUUGGGUUAAGUCCCGCAACGAGCGUAACCCUUGUCUUUAGUUGCCAGUAUUUAGUUAGGCACUCUAAAGAGACUGCCUCGGUUAACGGGGAGGAAGGUGGGGAUGACGUCAAGUCCUCAUGGCCUUUAUACCCAGGGCUACACACGUGCUACAAUGGGCUGUACAAAGGGUAGCUAAUUCGCGAGGAAGCGCUAAUCCCAAAAAGCAGCUCUCAGUUCGGAUUGGAGUCUGCAACUCGACUCCAUGAAGG